AAGAUAAAAAAAAUGAGGGUGUUAGAUUUGAUGGCUCGGAAACUGAUGAGAUGGGCUAGUGGUUAAAAAUUUACAACCGAAGAGCCGCGCCGAUUAUUAUGAAGAUCGACUGACAGGUGCGGUCGUCGGCAACUGCCCCUCAGUGAUACCUACUGGGAUUGGAGACAUCCUAGAAAAUUGAGAUGACUUCUUCUUCUUUGCACUGCCAGUGGCUUCUCACUCAUUCUAGUGUUACACACACGUCGACUUGAUGGCUUA
ensembl:ncRNA C35C5.15 ncRNA